GCCAGUGUAUCUCAGUGGUUAGAGUGUUGGCCUGCGCACCGAAGGGUGGCGGGUUCAAUUCCCGCGCAAGGGCA
rnacentral:tRNA from 1 species